GAGGCAGCAGUGGGGAAUAUUGCACAAUGGGCGCAAGCCUGAUGCAGCCAUGCCGCGUGUAUGAAGAAGGCCUUCGGGUUGUAAAGUACUUUCAGCAGUGAGGAAGGGGGUGUCGUUAAUAGCGGCAUCUCUUGACGUUAGCUGCAGAAGAAGCACCGGCUAACUCCGUGCCAGCAGCCGCGGUAAUACGGAGGGUGCGAGCGUUAAUCGGAAUUACUGGGCGUAAAGCGCAUGCAGGUGGUUUGUUAAGUCAGAUGUGAAAGCCCGGGGCUCAACCUCGGAACUGCAUUUGAAACUGGCAAACUAGAGUACUGUAGAGGGGGGUAGAAUUUCAGGUGUAGCGGUGAAAUGCGUAGAGAUCUGAAGGAAUACCAGUGGCGAAGGCGGCCCCCUGGACAGAUACUGACACUCAGAUGCGAAAGCGUGGGGAGCAAACAGGAUUAGAUACCCUGGUAGUCCACGCCGUAAACGAUGUCUACUUGGAGGUUGUGGCCUUGAGCCGUGGCUUUCGGAGCUAACGCGUUAAGUAGACCGCCUGGGGAGUACGGUCGCAAGAUUAAAACUCAAAUGAAUUGACGGGGGCCCGCACAAGCGGUGGAGCAUGUGGUUUAAUUCGAUGCAACGCGAAGAACCUUACCUACUCUUGACAUCCAGAGA
rnacentral:rRNA from 1 species